rnacentral:rRNA from 1 species
AGAGUUUGAUCAUGGCUCAGAACGAACGCUGGCGGCGUGGAUAAGACAUGCAAGUCGGACGAGAUUUUUCGUUGUAGCAAUACGAUGGAAAGUCUAGUGGCGAACGGGUGCUUAACACGUGGGCAAUCUGUCUUAAAGUGGGGGAUAGCUCGGCGAAAGCCGAAUUAAUACCGCAUGUGAUUAGAGUGGACAUCCAUUCGAAAUUAAAGGUGGCGCAAGCUACCGCUUUUUGAGGAGCCCGCGGCCUAUCAGCUUGUUGGUGAGGUAACGGCUCACCAAGGCUUUGACGGGUAGCUGGUCUGAGAGGACGACCAGCCACACUGGGACUGAGACACGGCCCAGACACCUACGGGUGGCAGCAGUCGAGAAUUUUUCUCAAUGGGGGAAACCCUGAAGGAGCGACGCCGCGUGGAGGAUGAAGGUCUUCGGAUUGUAAACUCCUGUCAUUGGGGAACAAGUCGCUUACGUUAACUGCGUGAGCGUUGAUAGUACCCGAAGAGGAAGAGACGGCUAACUCUGUGCCAGCAGCCGCGGUAAUACAGAGGUCUCAAGCGUUGUUCGGAUUCAUUGGGCGUAAAGGGUACGUAGGCGGCGCGGUAAGUCGGGUGUGAAAUCUCGGAGCUUAACUCCGAAACUGCAUUCGAUACUGCCGUGCUUGAGGACUGGAGAGGAGACUGGAAUUUACGGUGUAGCGGUGAAAUGCGUAGAUAUCGUAAGGAAGACCAGUGGCGAAGGCGGGUCUCUGGACAGUUCCUGACGCUGAGGCACGAAGGUCAGGGGAGCAAACGGGAUUAGAUACCCUAGUAGUCC